rnacentral:rRNA from 2 species
ACGGAAGGCAGCAGUGGGGAAUAUUGCACAAUGGGGGAAACCCUGAUGCAGCGACGCCGCGUGAGUGAAGAAGUAUUUCGGUAUGUAAAGCUCUAUCAGCAGGGAAGAAAAUGACGGUACCUGACUAAGAAGCCCCGGCUAACUACGUGCCAGCAGCCGCGGUAAUACGUAGGGGGCAAGCGUUAUCCGGAUUUACUGGGUGUAAAGGGAGCGUAGGCGGCACGGCAAGCCAGAAGUGAAAACCCGGGGCUCAACUCCGGGAUUGCUUUUGGAACUGUCGAGCUAGAUUGCGGGAGAGGUAAGUGGAAUUCCUAGUGUAGCGGUGAAAUGCGUAGAUAUUAGGAGGAACACCAGUGGCGAAGGCGGCUUACUGGACCGUAAAUGACGCUGAGGCUCGAAAGCGUGGGGAGCAAACAGGAUUAGAUACCCUGGUA